rnacentral:sRNA from 1 species
AUUAUUACACAGAAUUGUAAUCUUGUUUAUUACAAAAGGGAUUACAGAAAAGAAUUACGUAGGCGUUAUGAAAUAGGUUUAGAUUACAUUGAUCACAUUCUGUACAUUUCUCUAUUUCUUUAUAGGUAUACUGUCUGUGUCUGUUUACAUGUACUGUGCAAGUUUUGUAGCAGAUUGUUGCAAGUAUUCCUAGUCAAAGGAAUAUAAGGGUUGUUCUAUGUUAAACCAAAAUGAUUUCAGUGACAAAAUUGCAAUUGCAUUCUCUGUCGUGAGAAGCGUUUUUCAUACAUCAAUGUCAUGAAACAUGUUUCUAUCUCCCACUGUCUCGAGGAAUGAUUACAAAUAUGUUGUCUAUACAAAUUGUUACAAAUUCAUGCGGUACAUUUUUGUUCAGGAUUGUCCCGUAGUUCUUAUGUCUGGGACUGAAAUACCUCUAUAUAUUUAUGAUUACAUGUUACAGUGUAUUUUGAUUACAUGUUAUUAUUUCAUUUAUGUAGAUAUUGAAUUCCAUGCAGAAUGUAACAUUUGAUUUUUUUUAUUACAUUAUUACAUACAUAUAACCUGUCAGACAAAUAAUAUUCAUUUUUUUUAAAAAGAAAAUGUUGAAAGUUGAUUAAUACACUUGAAAUUGUUAAUUUUUUGUUACAUAUUGCCUUGAACUCCAUGAAACAAUUUUCCUUAUCCUCUAAAACAAAAUGUAAUAGUAUUCAUAGUUGUUACAUUACUGUUACAUUAAGCAUUGCAACACUUUUGUAAAUAGAUUUUCUCUGAUGCUGCCUUGUAACUCUUUACAUUGUGUAUGUUUAGUAUAGAAAAAAUGUGUAAUAAAGAUCGAAAGUCG